UGUAAGACCCCUGAUGAGGCUACCCAUCUGCACACCACAUACCAGACAAGAAGUACCUUACAUGAACUAGCCCAUUUAAUCCCCCACACACUCUAAACACACAUUGCUGUCCCCACUGUACAGGCUGGAGUUCCAAGAGAGCACAGUCAGCUAAAGGCAGAAUCCACAGUGAUCCCCAUUUUUCAUGGGUACAUGGGAUCCUUUUAAAAUGUGAUGCUCGGUGCCAGCCAACAUUGCAGAAAGGGCUAGGCUCACCUCUAUCGGCAACUGAACCUUCAGCAGAGAUGGCUCAGUGGCUGACGAUGCUCGCUGCCAGCCUGGGACGAAGCUCCAGAACCUACCUGGUGGAAGGAGAGAGCUCACCCCCUCUGGCUGGUCUCUGCCCUCCACAAGAGAACUGCAGCAUUCCGUGCCCACAACACACAGUAUAAGUGGAUUUAAAUGUAAUGAUUCUCUUAAAAAUAGUGACUUCUGCUUUGGCAAAGGCCUAUUAUUAACAAGCAAGCAAACAAGCAAGCAAACAGAAAUAGAAGACAAAGAGAGGAGAAAAGGCAAGCUACCACUCGGGACGGACUGGUCCUCACAGUCUAUAGCUGCCAGAGAAUAUCUGAUGUGUGACCCCCGUGGAGGAAUCAUUUAACCCCCAAAGGGUCAUGACCCACAAGUUGAGAACCACUGCCUUAGAGAAUCCUGACUCAUACAAUGGAUACAUAACAUAGAAUGAAUCCUCCCAAGCCCAGAAAGACCUGAGCAGACACUGCAGGAAAGGAUCUCUACCUACAGUGAGCAAACAUGCAAAGAUGUGAACUAAAACCAUGACGUGCAGCUACACAGCCACAGCGAGAGCCUAAGAAGGUUGGCAAAGACAAGCAACCAAACCUCACCAUGUCACUGAGCUAAAGUGGGAGAGAGAGAGAGAGAGAGAGAGAGAGAGAGAGAGAGAGAGAGAGAGAGAGAAAGAGGAGAGAGAGAAUGUGAUUCUAGCUACAUGAAGCUUCAGAAUGAGUACAUCUAAUAUUUAGUAAUAAAAGCAUAUCAAAGAUCAUGCCAGUGACCUACCCUCAAUAGAACACAAGGAACUUUCCAGACUGCAGGAAUCGUUCUAUAUCGUGAUUUAAAGUGACAGUCAUGAAUGUGUUAAUAUUCGUUAAAACUCACUGAACUGAAAGUAUACUCUUUCAACAGGGUGGACCGCACUGGCAAUAGAGU
rnacentral:lncRNA from 1 species